UACGGAGGGUGCAAGCAUUAAUCGGAUUUAUUGGGCGUAAAGGGCGCGUAGGCGGGAAGGAAAGUUAGGUGUGAAAGCCUGGGGCUUAACCUCAGAACUGCAUCUAAAACUCCCUUUCUAGAGGAUGAGCGGGGAAAAUGGAAUUCCACAUGUAGCGGUGAAAUGCGUAGAUAUGUGGAGGAACACCGGUGGCGAAGGCGAUUUUCUAGCUUAGACCUGACGCUGAGGCGCGAAAGCAAGGGGAGCAAACAGG
rnacentral:rRNA from 1 species